UCGCUGAGCUAUUACUACUUAACAAGUUUGGUAGUCUUCUGCGCCGGAGUUUUGUAUAGACACUAUUAAGCACUGGCUUUUCUAGGGAGAAGAUUUCCACCAGGCUAUCGCUACAGAGCAAGCUUAGAGGCCCUCCACGCCGGAAGCUCGAAGCAGUCAUUAUCGAAGGCAACUGCCGUCCAAGCUAAGACCAUCAUUACCAUUGAGUUAUUGUUGUUUAGUAAGCUCAAAACAAUAACCGUGCUAGAGCUUGAACUCAGCGCAACGAUCGGUGACAAUUCUAAGGGGUGUUAGGAGAUAGAAGACGCCUUGCACAUCAGAGAUCCUCCUGGCAGUCCCCACGCCCGGAUGGAAACGUCGGCAGUUGAUGUUGGGCUACUAGCCAAACCGUAGGGGCAUGACCGAGUUAGUCGCCUACUCAUUGACAGUGGUCAGCGCGUAUGGGUACACGUCGAACUACAGUUUGUCGAGUGUCAGGACAGCUAGUGCGUUGAGCCACGCACUGAGCUAAGCAAUAAAAGGAGAACUGUUGUUCUCACGAAAGGUACACGCAACCUUACUAUCGAACCAUACAUACACUUUCUCUCUCUAAAUUUUCGGAUGUCUAACUUGAUCGUCGGAGGGCCAUUUCUCAAAAACAGCUUUGGCGGUAGGUCUCGCUGUUUCGAUGAUUAUAGUUUGGGCAUCGCU
rnacentral:lncRNA from 1 species